AGUUUCCUCUUCUGCGAGCCAGCACUCUUCAGAGCUGGGAAAUGAGAUCUAACCACUGGCUUUUUCUGGGCUUAUGUAUGGAUUCUUCCCUGUGAGGAUGGCAGAAAGGAACAGAAAUGGUUCCUGAAAAUGUGGGCAGGAGAGCAUCGUGGAUCCCUGAAGAAAAGCAGGGAAAUUGUUAAAAUGUCCAUUUUACAGAAGAGGAAUUCAUCCCAGGAUGCCAGAGCUGCCUUGAGUGGCACAUCUUGUUGAAGCAGCCCUUGGUUCAAGAUAGGUCAUUUGGAUUCUAGUGCCUGCUCUAUGAUACUCCUGAGCCUAGUGGGUUCUGGUUAUGAAGAACAUGAUGUUUUCAGAUUGAAGAGAAUUAAACACGAGACAUCAUCCUUCAUCUGAUGAAUACCGAACCAGAAUUCUCCAGUGCCAUACAGGGUUUAAGGAUAUUAUUUGGAUCUUGCUAUAAACCAACACAGGCUUCACCUAGGACCUGAACUAACAUAUUCUACCUUCUCACUAUAUCAACAUGUCAGUGUCUUGUUUAUUUUUUAAGCAUCUCUCAAAGGCCACCCCCUCCAAGAGGAUUAAAUGAUUUAAUAUAUGAAAAACACUCAAUCACACCUAGCACAUAUAUUUAAGACUUCAAUAUAUAUCAGCUAUUAUUGUUAUUGUCUUUUUAGUGGCUUUGAAUCUUUCACAUGGAGUUCUGUAAUGUGCACUCUACAGCUUAUUCCUUGGUGUGUUAAAGGCCCAACAACUACAUUUUUUUCCACAUGCCAUUGUCACUUGCAGCUGUGGUUUCGGAGAUGAUGGUUACGUUUGACUGCAACUAACUACUUGGUCCACAUCCCAUGCAUAUUGUUCAAGCAGUGACACAGAGAGGGAGAGAAUAGGAGAGAGAGUGCUGAAGUCAUCCACAAGGACCAUCUAUCUCCAAGUGCUCCCACAGUACCUCUAGCCAGUUGACCCCCAUGCUUAUGUUACAUCCCUCCCUCAAAGUGGCACAGUGGUCCAUGCUAUCUCUAGAAAAUUGUUUUAAAUUUUUCUCAAUUUGGAACAAAGUUUACCUUUGGGAAAUCCUUGGGGAUUUUCAUCCAGGUUUUUCAUUCUGUUCUCUAGGACCACAUGGAUCAAGUUUGUUCCGUCUUCUUUAAGACUACCCUUUAAUAUAGAGAGAAACUUAUUGCGGCUGAUUACUCUAGAACACAUUUGUAGAGCUAUGCCUUGUAUAAUGACUGACUUCAA